rnacentral:rRNA from 1 species
CCUACGGGGGGCAGCAGUGGGGAAUAUUGCGCAAUGGGGGAAACCCUGACGCAGCAACGCCGCGUGAUUGAAGACGGCCUUCGGGUUGUAAAGAUCUUUAAUCGGGGACGAAUUUUGAGGGUACUGGAAGAAUAAGCUACGGCUAACUACGUGCAAGAAGCCGCGGUAAUAGGAAGGGAGCAAGCGUUAUCCGGAUUUACUGGGUGUAAAGGGCGUGUAGGCGGGGAUGCAAGCCUGAAGUGAAAUCUGGGGGCUUAACCCCCAAACUGCUUUUGAAACUGCGUGUCUUGAGUGAUGGAGAGGCAUGCGGAAUUCCCAGUGUAGCGGUGAAAUGCGUAGAUAUUGGGAGGAACACCAGUGGCGAAGGCGGCCUGCUGGACAUUAACUGACGCUGAGGCGCGAAAGCGUGGGGAGCAAACAGGAUUAGAUACCCCUGUAGUC